GAUAUCUUUGUCGACCACUGUUAGAGAGAGAUGGGAAGCGGUGAAGGUGUAGUAGCUCUGUUUACUCUCUCCCUUCUCUUUGUCUCGUAUGAGGUAGUGGAUUCAGCAAUCGGUGUGAACUGGGGAACGUUGUCGUUUCACAAGAUGAGACCUUCAACUGUGGUGGAUCUACUCAAAGCGAACAAGAUUACUAAAGUUAAGCUCUUUGAUACCAAUCCAGAUGCGCUUCGAGCUUUGAUGGGUACUGGAAUCCAAGUUAUGGUCGGCAUUCCUAAUGAGAUGCUCUCAUCUUUCAAUUCUGAUUUGUUCGUCCAGCAAAAUCUCUCUCGCUUCAUCGGCAAAAACGGUGCUGAUAUUAGGUAUGUUGCAGUAGGGAAUGAGCCGUUUCUGACUGGUUAUGGUGGUCAGUUUCAGAACUUAGUUGUUCCAGCUAUGGUUAAUUUGCAACAGUCUUUGGUUAAGGCAAAUCUUGCUAACUAUGUGAAGCUGGUGGUUCCUUGUAAUGCGGAUGCGUAUGAGGCUAAUGUUCCUUCCCAGGGGACGUUCCGGCCUGAGCUCACACAGAUCAUGACUCAGUUGGUUUCGUUUCUCAACUCUAAUGGCUCUCCUUUUGUGGUUAAUAUCUAUCCUUUCCUUAGUCUUUAUGGAAACUCGGAUUUCCCACAAGACUAUGCCUUUUUUGAGGGGAGUAGUCAUCCGGUUCCUGAUGGGCCUAACACUUACUAUAAUGCAUUUGAUGGGAACUUUGACACUCUUGUUUCUGCUCUCACCAAGCUUGGAUAUGGUCAGAUGCCUAUAGUUAUUGGUGAGAUUGGUUGGCCUACGGAUGGAGCAGUUGGUGCUAAUCUCACGGCAGCCAGGGUUUUUAAUCAAGGGCUUAUUAGCCAUGUGUUGAGCAACAAAGGAACACCGCUCAGGCCAGGCUCUCCUCCUGCGGAUGUCUAUCUUUUCGGAUUGCUUGACGAAGGAGCGAAGAGUACAUUGCCUGGUAACUUUGAGAGGCACUGGGGAAUCUUCUCUUUCGAUGGACAGGCCAAGUAUCGUCUCAACUUAGGACUAGGCAACAGAGGACUCAAGAAUGCAAAAGAUGUGGCUUACCUUCCUUCUAGGUGGUGUGUGGCUCACCCAGCAAGAGACAUGACCCUAGUUGGAGACCACCUCAGGCUUGCUUGCAGUGAAGCAGAUUGCACAACGCUCAACGACGGGGGCUCGUGCAGCCAGCUUGGUGAAAAGGAUAAUAUCUCAUACGCUUUCAACAGCUACUAUCAGAUGCAGAUGCAAAAUGAAAAGAGCUGCGACUUUGAUGGACUUGGCAUGGUCACCUUCUUAGAUCCUUCAGUUGGGGAUUGUCGGUUUCUUGUGGGCGUUACUGAUAAAGGCUUAUCGUCAAGUGCUGAGGCAAUGGCAAGGUGGUCUAUCUGUCACAUUUGCAUUGGAGUAUUGAUCUGGACUCUUACAAUGUGAAGUUGGGAAAUUUUCAGAGUUACAUUUUUUGAGCGAUAUAGUAGAAUAUAGGAUGGAGAAAUUACAUAAAUAUAGAGGGUCAGAUGUAUUUUAUUGUAUUUGAAAUCACGUAUUUUGAGCGUAUAAGCUGAAAAGCAGAACCAUUGUAUCUCUGUAAUAUCUUAUUGGGGACUAUAUUAGAAAAUCAGAACCAUACAAUUAUACUACCUUUGUUGUCAAUGUAGUAUCUAAGUUGAGACUCAAAUACAAGGUUGUCAAACAGAUUGUGAUCAUCACUAUAGUUUCACUUUCACUAA